rnacentral:rRNA from 1 species
AGAGUUUGAUCCUGGCUCAGAAUGAACGCUGGCGGCGUGUUUAAGACAUGCAAGUCGCACGGAAUCAUUUUGGUAGUAAUACUCGAAUGGUUUAGUGGCGCACGGGUGAGUAACAUGUGAAUUACAUGCCCUAUAGUGGGGAAUAGCCCAGGGAAACUUGGAUUAAUACCCCAUGGUCUCGCAAGAGUAAAGGUGGCCGCAAGGCUGUCGCUAUAGGAUUGGUUCGCACCCUAUCAGCUUGUUGGUGAGGUAACGGCUCACCAAGGCUACGACGGGUACCUGGUCUGAGAGGACGAUCAGGCACACUGGAACUGAGACACGGUCCAGACACCUACGGGUGGCAGCAGUCGAGAAUAAUUCACAAUGGGGGCAACCCUGAUGGUGCAACGCCGCGUGGAGGAUGAAGGUCUUCGGAUUGUAAACUCCUGUCAUCUGGGAGUAAGACCUGGUCGUUAAUAGCGGACAGGGUUGAUAGUACCAGAAGAGGAAGGGACGGCUAACUUCGUGCCAGCAGCCGCGGUAAUACGAAGGUCCCGAGCGUUGUUCGGAAUCACUGGGCGUAAAGGGAGCGUAGGCGGCGUGGUAAGUCAGACGUGAAAUCCCGGGGCUCAACCCCGGAACUGCAUCCGAUACUGCCGUGCUAGAGGAUUGGAGAGGUAGCUGGAAUUCUUGGUGUAGCAGUGAAAUGCGUGGAUAUCAAGAGGAACACUCGUGGCGAAAGCGAGCUACUGGACAACUCCUGACGCUGAGGCUCGAAGGCCAGGGUAGCGAAAGGGAUUAGAUACCCCUGUAGUCCUGGC